rnacentral:sRNA from 1 species
CAGCUUCUGUACAACAGCCUUUCCAGGGAGCCCAGAUUUAGCCCUAGCUAGCUGUGAAAGAAUCUGCAUCUCACGCGUUCGCUCAGUUGAUUCUGCCGUGGAGAUUUUGAGGGCAACAAGUCGACUUUGACUUCUAUCCUCUGCCAGCUAGGUUGUGGCAGACCGGCCGAAUCCAAGUUUAUGAGCGAUAACAUGUCGACCCGCACAAAAUUCAUCACCAAUCAAGACAGGAUGGUAACCUCCGGGAACAUAAUAGUCCAAGCACUCAACUUCCUCCACAAACUUGUACUUGCCUCUGCUGGGUUCCAUAUGUGUUGCCAUACUUCUGCGAAGAUGUGAAAUGGAGAAUUGUGUCUGUCGGCAGGGUGGCCCAGUUACCAAUGGUCUGAUUCUGCCGUUACUUGUUCGAUUGGCCAGCGGAGUGGUGCUGGGUUCAGGUCAUUUGUAAUUAAGGCAACUGGGACAAGACGGAACAGAGCAAAGCUCGUUAGCUAGCGUAUAGGGCUACCUCAAGGGGGGAUAUAGAGAUCUCUAUUCUAUCGGCAACCAAGCGGGUCUCAAGAGGUAGGCAGCUAGCUAUUAAUCUCCAUUUGAAUAGAGAUCUGGGGGAUAACAGUAAUCGAUCGGAUAUCGAUCGGAUAUUCAGCAGGCAGGC